GACGAACGCUGGCGGCGUGCUUAACACAUGCAAGUCGAGCGGUAAGGCCCUUUCGGGGGUACACGAGCGGCGAACGGGUGAGUAAUACGUGGGUGACCUGCCCUCAGCUCUGGGAUAAGCCCGGGAAACUGGGUCUAAUACUGGAUAUGACUCCAUGACGCAUGUUGUGGGGUGGAAAGCCUUGUGCGGCUGAGGAUGGGCCCGCGGCCUAUCAGCUUGUUGGUGGGGNGAUGGCCUACCAAGGCGACGACGGGUAGCCGGCCUGAGAGGGCGACCGGCCACACUGGGACUGAGACACGGCCCAGACUCCUACGGGAGGCAGCAGUGGGGAAUCUUGCGCAAUGGGCGAAAGCCUGACGCAGCGACGCCGCGUGAGGGAUGACGGCCUGGUGUAAC
rnacentral:rRNA from 1 species